UACGUAGGGUGCGAGCGUUGUCCGGAAUUAUUGGGCGUAAAGGGUGCGUAGGCGGUUUGGUAAGUCUUGUGUGAAAUCUACAGGCUCAACUUGUAGUCUGCACGAGAAACUGCCGGGCUUGAGUAUGGGAGAGGUGGAGUGGAAUUCCUGGUGUAGCGGUGAAAUGCGUAGAUAUCAGGAGGAACACCUGUGGCGAAAGCGGCUCACUGGACCAUAACUGACGCUGAUGCACGAAAGCUAGGGGAGCAAACAGG
rnacentral:rRNA from 1 species